UACGUAGGGGGCUAGCGUUGCCCGGAAUCAUUGGGCGUAAAGAGCGUGUAGGCGGUCCGGUAAGUCCGCUGUGAAAGUCGGGGGCUCAACCCUCGAAUGCCGGUGGAUACUGUCGGGCUAGAGUGCGGAAGAGGCGAGUGGAAUUCCUGGUGUAGCGGUGAAAUGCGCAGAUAUCAGGAGGAACACCUAUUGCGAAGGCAGCUCGCUGGGACGUUACUGACGCUGAGACGCGAAAGCGUGGGGAGCAAACAGG
rnacentral:rRNA from 1 species